rnacentral:lncRNA from 1 species
AGCACCUGACCCCUAACAUACUGCUGCACCAUCUCCUAUGGUGCAUCAUCCGCAAUAUGAAAAUGACGAUAACGAUCAUCCAAACACUCAAUCCUGAGUCGUGAAUGAUCGAAAAAAUAUGCGUCGGGCUCAAACUCUAACAAUCGCAAGAAGGGAGAAGGGAGAAGGGAGAAGGAGAAGAGGGAGAAGGAAGAAGGAGGGGAGA